GCCCUCGUGGUGUAAUGGUCAGCACGCUCGACGUGUUUUCGAAAGGUCCGUGGUUCAAAUCCCGGCGAGGGCA
rnacentral:tRNA from 1 species